rnacentral:tRNA from 1 species
CGGGGCGUAGCGCAGCUGGCUAGCGCACUUGCUUGGGGUGCAAGGGGUCGGCGGUUCAAAUCCGCCCGUCCCGACCA